GGUGAUGUGGCUCAGUGGUAGAGCACUUGCCUAGCACGUGUGAGGCCCUGGGUUCAAUUCUCAGCACCACAU
rnacentral:tRNA from 1 species